GCAAUGAGGGUGAUCUGACUGUGACAUCUGUCGCCCCAUUGAUCACUAGGGAUGAUUUGGCUGAUCUAGCUGGCUAGGCAAGUGUCCCUUUCCUUCCUCACUGCUCCUAUGCGCAUCCCUCCCAAAGCUGCCCACUUAGAAGAGGACAACUUUCACUUGUAGAGUAGAACCAGCCUUCAGUCAAGCCUACAUGGGUAGCUGCACUCCCCUGCCAUGAUCUUCAGUCAGUCUCUUCAGGUCCAUUUGCAGGACAGUAUAGGGUAGUCAGGCUUACAAAAUUGCAGACACACCCAGAUGAGGUGCUGUGUAUGGCAGUCUGCCUUUCUUU
ensembl:misc_RNA 7SK 7SK RNA